UACGGGGGGGAGCAAGCGUUGUUCGGAUUCAUUGGGCGUAAAGGGUGUGUAGGUGGCGCGCUAAGUCGGGUGUGAAAUUUCGGAGCUUAACUCCGAAACUGCAUUCGAUACUGCCGUGCUUGAGGACUGGAGAGGAGACUGGAAUUUACGGUGUAGCGGUGAAAUGCGUAGAUAUCGUAAGGAAGACCAGUGGCGAAGGCGGGUCUCUGGACAGUUCCUGACGCUGAGGCACGAAGGCCAGGGGAGCAAACGGG
rnacentral:rRNA from 1 species